rnacentral:lncRNA from 1 species
CGCACGCAUGAUAAACAACGUGUUGGACGAGUUACUGCUUUAAAGAAGUUUUGUUUAACUUUCAAGCUUGUUGUCUGCCAUACCGGAAAUCUUGGAGCCUGUGUCUCUGUCUCUGAGACUGAGAGUAAGACUGUUGUAGCGUGAGGACUAAAGUCGUUAAUUAUAUCAGGCCUAAUUAGGGUCUUUUGACAUCUUGUUCUUGCCUACUGGUACGCCGUAGCCGUCGUCACGGCCUUCGCUGUAUUCGUACGUGUGAAUUGUUUACAUCAGUUCAGUUGAAAUCGAAGACUUCUUCAAAGUCAAGUUUCAGUUUUUGUCAACUCAAGGAGCAUUUGCAGCUUCAUUUGUGUGUAAUUUCAGAGUCUCAUCUUGAGGCAAUUCAGCGAAGGCUUGCGCUGAAGGUGUUUAUAUUGUUAUUUCUGUGUACAGUUAUUUCAGAGGGCAGAAGGCCAUUGAGUACAGGUUUCUUGGAGGUAGUUAAAUUGUUAUUACAGCUCCAUAUCACUCAUCUCAUACCAUUUCACCUUCACCCUCAGAUCCUUUAGACGUAAAGGUGCGAGAAGUAAGAAACUCAUUUAGAACCUCAUCCUAAACUUCAUAUUCAGAACAUUUCAUUCAUACCAUAUACCAUACCAUUUCAUUUUCACCCUCUCACCUUUAGACGUAAAGGUGAGAGACAAAACGAACUCAUUUAGAACCUCAGAAACUUCAUUUUAAACUUUCAUCGAAAUUUCAUCUGGAAGUCUGUCUACCAAUUCACGACAAUAACCCUUGCAUUUAGAGGCUUGGGUGAGUCACAAGGAAUUGGGGAUAGCAACGAACAAACAGAACUUUUUAAACACAUAAUUCUUUUAAACACAUAAUUCUUUUUUAAACACAUAA